rnacentral:rRNA from 1 species
CCUACGGGGGGCAGCAGUGAGGAAUAUUGGUCAAUGGGCGCGAGCCUGAACCAGCCAAGUCGCGUGAGGGAAGACGGUCCUAUGGAUUGUAAACCUCUUUUGUCGGGGAGCAAAAGACGCCACGCGUGGCGUUCCGAGAGUACCCGAAGAACAAGCAUCGGCUAACUCCGUGCCAGCAGCCGCGGUAAUACGGAGGAUGCGAGCGUUAUCCGGAUUUAUUGGGUUUAAAGGGUGCGCAGGCGGAAGAUCAAGUCAGCGGUAAAAUUGAGAGGCUCAACCUCUUCGAGCCGUUGAAACUGGUUUUCUUGAGUGAGUGAGAAGGAUGCGGAAUGCGUGGUGUAGCGGUGAAAUGCAUAGAUAUCACGCAGAACUCCGAUUGCGAAGGCAGCAUACCGGCGCUCAACUGACGCUCAUGCACGAAAGUGUGGGUAGCGAACAGGAUUAGAUACCCUAGUAGUC